CUGCUUCCUACCCGCCCCCAAUCCCACGGUUGCCAGUAGCUGCCUUGUGCCCGUACCUUGCCGCGCCAAUCCGUUAAGGUCCCAGGUCCUUAGUGCGUGCGCCUCUCCCUACGGUACACCACGCGCGCGCGCCGCCCCUUCCGUUGCCAACAGGUGCCUUGUGCGCGAACCUUGCCGGCCAAACCGUUAACGUCUGGCGUCUUUUGUGCGUGCGCCUCUCCUUCCAGUACCUAUCAGGCGCCCCUUCAACCCCGCGCCCUUUCCCGCCGCCAUUGCUCGCAGGACGCUCAGAGUCCAGCUCUCCAGAGUUCAACGAUCCGAAAAUACCCCACUGCUCCCAGGAGCGGUUACCUGGGCACUCUGUGCCCUUUAUCCCUGUCCCGGUCCCUUCCUGGGGUUGAGGACCCCAGCAGUAGGACUCAGUUUCCUUGAGCCUGCUGCCCGCAUCCCUCACUUCAUUUUGCUUGUGGGAUCUCUCUGUUGCUCCUGCCCUUGGACGGAGUGGCAAGCCUUCCUACAAGUACCCAGACACUUAAAAUCAGCCUGGUGUCGAAACAACUCCAAGGAUUUAUCCUUCAAGCCCUGUGUUCUGUCCGGCGAUCCUACCUUCAAUUUGAGGCACAGGUACCGCAGCAAGCCAGUGCCCUAAGGACUCUCAGAGAGGCCCUGGAGGAGAAGUUGAGCAAGUUCCAUGAGUUGAGAGAAAAAUGAAGCCACCUGUGCAGGGAGAGUGUGGGCAGAGGGAAGCCAGAGAAGUCCCAGGCUGUGGAAGCCAAACAGGAGAGCAUGAGCCAGGAGGACGGUCAGGAUUGGGGAUGAGGUUGCUCUCCCUGGAGGAGGAAUCCUAAAGCGCACAGCCUGGGACUCCCUCCCGUGGGGUCCAGUCCCCCAACAUUUCACAGGCCUCCUGGAGCUGCCUUCCAAUAAGGACAAACACAGCAAGAAAAGAUCCAUUUCUGCACAAAAGUCCUGGAAAGAAGAAAAAAAAAGCAGUGAAUGGAGUCAAAACGUUACCAGUGCUGAGUUAGUCUCUCGAUUCUUUUCUAAAUGGAGUGUGGUUUCCUAGUCAGGGAAUGGAAGAGGCCCCUCCCACACAGGGACAGGGUCAUGACCCCAGAGGAUGAAGCAGCAGCAUUUAUUCAAGAUACAACAGUGAGGGGAUCCUGUCACAUUCCUGUCUCCCUGGAGAGGGCACAUCUCAAGAAGUGAUCCAGGAGACAUAGAUGGGGUUUGCUGCAUUGUCCAGACUGGUCUCAAACACCUGGGAUCAGUUAUCCUGCCGCGGUCUCUCAAAGUGCUAGGAUUACAGGCAUGAGCCUCCACACCCAAACACUUGGGGCGGUUUUAAGCCCCCAGUAAGGUGCAUCAGCAGGACCAAGUGGGGACCUGGGCCUCCCCAACACUCUCAUCCAUGCAGACCUAGGCAAGUGUCUCUCUCUGAAUCUCAGGCACCACCACAGACAAUGCAAGUAGGAAGCUGGGCAGGGCAGGACUGGGGGUGUAGCAGGCAGAGGCCACCUCUGUCAGGUCGGGGUGGCAUGGGCUGGCUGGAGCCUGUCUUCUCACAUGUAGCUCAUGACUUCCAAGGACCAGCUGUCAGUCAUGGUGAUGGGCCACUGGGAUUGGCAAAAAGCUUGCUCUCGUUCUCUGAGGCUGGAGCAGUGUGGGGCCAAAGACCAUGGUGAGGUUGUGCAGGGACUUUUAUUGACUGCCUUUUUCUUACCAACCUAUGCAGGACUGAAGCAGAGGGUGCUGUUUCUAUGCCACCACCAGGAAAGAGGCAGCGGGGAUGGGCCGUGCUGGAGUCCUCUGGGAGGGAGCGACCUCAACCCUUGCUGUGCUGCAAGCUGAUUCCAGCCCUGGGGUCAGCAGCACCUGGAGAACAGCAGCAGGAGGUGGCGUGAGAGCAGUGGCUCAUGGGUGGAGCUUCCCAUGGGAAACUGCGGUUGCCACCCCUUCCCGAGGGCAGCCCAGAGUAGUGGAGGCUCAGCAUAGAAUGAAAAAGGGAGUGAGAUACACAAGGAGGUGGGAGGUGGGUGGCCCCAGCCCCACAAACUAAGCAGAGACCCUCUCUUCACCCUAGACUCCACAGGGGCACCUCAGGCUGGUAGACCAGGUCCUCUGGGCAUGGGCCCGGGAGGCAGGCCUGCCCUAAGGGUCAUGCAGAGGAUGCAGGGCCACACACACCAGUGCUCUGCUUAGACAUCAGCCUCCAGGUUGACUCAGGGUCAGGCCAGGUUUGAUCCUGUGCUUGACUGGGCCAGGACCCGUGGCUAGAGCACCUGGGGACCCUCGUUCAGCCCUGGUCUGCUGGAAGAGGGACAGCAGACUUUAGGACCCCACAACACAGCACUGCUGAGCAUUUUCCUCUCUUGGCCUCCUUGAGGAAUAGGACAAGGAGUCCUCUGGGGACAGACGAGGACUUACACAACAGCCUCAGUUGUGGCCCUUGCUUUCUGAGCCUGGUUAAAACACUGACCAUGGCAGAAAGGACACAGCUUGGGUUCCCACACCUCACUUUCCACAGCCCUAAUGGCAGCAGUGCACAUGGAGGAGAUGCCUCCUAUGACGCCAAGGCCUCCAGUGUUCACCGAUGCCCUCAUCAAAGUUGGGUAGAACUUGUCAGUGAAGAGGGGCUCAGGCAGCUCAGAGAAGUAGAGCUUCAGCCUGUCUGCGAUGGUAUGUACAUCCAUCUCACUCAUCAUCGACACGUCCCUGUCAUCCGGAAAGAACAUGGAAAUGCUGUGGCCUCCUUGAGGAUCCCAAGUGGGUCUCCUGCCAUCCCUGCCUUGGCUAAAACACCAUCCCUGCCACACUGGCCACUGUGCGGGUCCCUCCCUGGCUUUGAGCAGCUCAUCUUCCUCCUCCCAAGAGCUGUGCGUGGUUCUGCGUCUGUGUAGAAAUGAUGGAGGGGUGUGUGCAUCCCCAUAUUUCUCCCCUGCUUGGCCCAAUGUGAUGUCCAGGAGGAGGCUAGGGCAGCAUGGGAAUCAGGUGGCUCUGCCCUGUUCAUAGCAACACCAGUCUUCUGACAGCAGGAAGGCUGUGGGAGAAUCCGAUGGGUUUCAGUGUUUGAACCAGUGUCUUCCUUUGGAUCCACUGGAGCUGACCUCCCCACCACAGUCCAGGUCCAUCCUGGGCCUCCAGAGGGAACUGAAACUACCGCAUGACCCACCCAGGGGUGCUGGGCAUUCUAGGGGUCCUGGUCUGGGUGGGUAGUGUGUGCCCCAAAGAAAGGUCACAGGCACAAAGUCCUGUUGCUUUGAAGUUGCUGGACAAGGACACUCUGGGUUCUCAGUGCCCUCCCCUGGCAUUUGGGGCAGGUCCAGGUCCUUAAUAAUCCAUGAGGGGUAGUGAGAUGGAGGUGGAGGUGGUGCAGCCUUAGCCUGAGCUGGGUCCCAUCAGUGCCCUCUGCCCGCCACAUCCUCACACAGGGAAGUGGACAGAACACACUGAGUCCCAGGCUUCCACACCUCAUGUCCACCCUCAAGGCAAGAAGUCCAAGGCCCCCCGACAGCCCGGGUCUGCCCAGCAAGUGGCAUGGGUGGGUAAGAUGGUUCAAGAACUGGCUUCUACAGAAGCUCCUUCUACAACUCUUGUCUUCUCUUUAUAAAAAAUAAUAAAACAGUAAAUGACAAAAAGACACAGUGAAGAAUGUGAUGUGACCCGGCCAUGGAGCGCUGUGAGAUCUCAUUGUGAACAUUGACGCCCACACCUCCAUCACGACACGAUCUGGUUGAUGACAAAGGCUGCCUUCAGUGCCUGGAUGACCGGGGCCACUCCAGACCCACAGUAGAUGCCCACCUCCUUCAUGCCACGAUGCUUGAUCCACUCCACACAUUGGUGCAAGAAAAAGGGCACCUUGGCAGAUGGAGUCUAACCCUGUCACCAGGCUGGAGUGCAAUGGCGCGAUCUUGGCUCACUGCAACCUCUGUCUCCUGAGUUCAAGUGAUUUCCUCUGCCCCAACCUCCUGAGUAGUUGGGAAUACAGGAGUUGAACAUUCAAUGGAAUCUAAGUUGGCAUCUUUAGGAAUUAAAACGUAUGGAGACUUGCAGUAUAUGACCAUGGCAAAACUCCAGAAAGAAUUUGGUCCCAAAACAGGUCAGAUGCUUUAUAGAUUCUGCCGUGGCUUGGAUGAUAGACCAGUUCGAACUGAGAAGGAGAGAAAAUCUGUUUCAGCUGAGAUCAACUAUGGAAUCCGGUUUACUCAGCCAAAAGAGGCAGAGAAGCUUUUCUUCUGAGUCUUUCAGAAGAAAUUCAAAGAAGACUAGAAGCCACUGGCAUGAAGGGUACAUGUCUAACUCUCAAAAUCAUGGUACGAAAGCCUGGGGCUCCUGUAGAAACUGCAAAAUUUGGAGGCCAUGGAAUUUGUGAUAACAUUGCCAGGUUGGGAUUCACGUUAAUCAGUUGGUUCCAGCUGAUCCGAACACUUCCACAUGUCCCAGUCGCCCAUCGAUUCAGUCAAGCCACUUUCCUCGUGGGUCACACUCUGUCCGUGAUAUCUUCCAAGUUCAGAAAGCUAUGAAAUCCACAGAAGAGGAGCACAAAGAAGCUGGAUCAGUCUGUUCUAGAAGCACUUCCACCUGAUCUCCCACCUGAUCUCUGGGAACAAGUAGAGCAAGUCUGUGCUGUUCAGCAAGCAGAAUCACGUGGUGACAAAAAGAAACAACCAGUAAAUGGCUGUAAUUCAGGAAUUUUGCCACAACCGGUUGGGACAGUCUUGUUGCAAAUACCAGAACCUCAAAAAUCGAACAGUGACACAGGAAUAAAUGGAACAGCCCUUACAGCAUUUUCACAGGUAUUUGCUGCCCUUCCUGCUGAACUUCAAAGGGAGCUGAAAGCAGCAUAUGAUCAAAGACAAAGGCAGAGCGAGAACAGCACUCGCCAGCAGUCAGCCAGCACAUCUGGUUGAUGCAGCAAUCGGUGGAAUCGGUUUGGAAUAUGGCAUUUGACUUUAUUCUUGACAAUGUUCAGGUGGUUUUACAACAGACUUAUGGAAGCACAUUAAAAGUUACAUAAAUAUACCCAGAGAGCCUGAUGCUCUCCGAUAGCUGUGCCAUAAGUGCUUGUGAGGUAUUUGCAAAGUGCAUGAUAGUAAUGCUCGGAGUUUUUAUAAUUUUAAAUUUCUUUUAAAGCAACUGUUUUGUAUAUUUCUUUUCAAAAAGUGCCAAAUUUGUCAGUAUUGCAUGUAAAUAGUUGUGUUAAUUCUUUUACUGUAGCAUAGAUUCUAUUUACAAAAUGUUUGUUUAUAAAGUUUUAUGGAUUUUUACAGUGAAGUGUUUACAGUUGUUUAAUAAAGAACUGUAUGUAUAUUUUG